UGGGGAAUAUUGGACAAUGGGCGAAAGCCUGAUCCAGCAAUACCGCGUGUGUGAAGAAGGCCUUCGGGUUGUAAAGCACUUUAAGUUGGGAAGAAAAAACUUUACCUAAUACGUGAAGUCUUGACGGUACCGACAGAAUAAGCACCGGCUAACUCUGUGCCAGCAGCCGCGGUAAUACAGAGGGUGCUAGCGUUAAUCGGAUUUACUGGGCGUAAAGCGUGCGUAGGUGGUUUGAUAAGUCGGUUGUGAAAGCCCCGGGCGCAACCUGGGAAUUGCGGCCGAUACUGUCAGACUCGAAAACGGUAGAGGGAGGUGGAACUCCAGGUGUAGCGGUGAAAUGCGUAGAUAUCUGGAAGAACAUCGAUGGCGAAGGCAGCCUCCUGGGCCUGUUUUGACACUGAGGCACGAAAGCGUGGGUAGCAAACA
rnacentral:rRNA from 1 species